rnacentral:rRNA from 1 species
AACGAACGCUGGCGGCGUGCCUAACACGUGCAAGUCGAACGAGAAAGGGGCUUCGGCUCCGAGUAAAGUGGCGCACGGGUGAGUAACACGUGGGUAACCUGCCUCUAAGAUUGGGAUAACUCGUCGAAAGAUGAGCUAAUACCGAAUAAGACCACAGUUCCCGCGGGAACAGGGGUCAAAGGUAGCCUCUGCUUGCAAGCUAUCACUUAGAGAUGGGCCUGCGCACCAUUAGCUAGUUGGUAGGGUAACGGCCUACCAAGGCAAAGAUGGUUAGCUGGUCUGAGAGGAUGAUCAGCCACACUGGAACUGAGACACGGUCCAGACUCCUACGGGAGGCAGCAGUGGGGAAUAUUGCGCAAUGGGCGAAAGCUUGACGCAGCAACGCCGCGUGAGUGAUGAAGGCCUUCGGGUCGUAAAGCUCUGUCGGGAGGAACGAAUGCUCCUGAGGUUAACAGCCUCGGGAGGUGACGGUACCUUCAAAGGAAGCACCGGCUAACUCUGUG